rnacentral:rRNA from 1 species
AGCGAACGCUGGCGGCAGGCUUAACACAUGCAAGUCGAACGAACCUUUCCGGGUUUGUUGCGGACGGGGGAGUAACACGUGGGAACGUGCCUUUAGGUUCGGUAUCAUUCAGGGAAACUUGUGCUAAUACCGAAUGUGCCCUUCGGGGGAAGGAUUAGUCGCCUUUAGAGCGGGGGGCGGCUGGUUAGGUCGUUGGUUGUGGUAAUGGCUCACCAGGGCGAGGAUCAGUAGCUGGUCGGAGAGGAUGAUUAGCCACAUUGGGACUGAGGCCCGGCCCAAACUCCUACGGAAGGCAGCAGUAGGGAAUCUUGCGCGAUGGGCGAUGGCCUAACGAAGCCAUGCCGCGGGAAUGAUGAAGGGCUUAGGAUGGUGAAAUUCUUUCUCCGGGGGCGAUAAUGACGGUACCCGGUGAAGAAGCCCCGGCUAACUACGUG